ACAUGCAAGUCGAACGAUGAAGUGGAGCUUGCUCCACGGAUUAGUGGCGAACGGGUGAGGAACACGUGAGAAACCUGCCUCGGAUUUUGGGAUAACAAAUGGAAACGUUUGCUAAUACCAAAUAACGUCGGAGAGUCACAUGACUUUCUGACGAAAGGAAUUCCGAUUCGAGAGGGUCUCGCGGCCUAUCAGCUUGUUGGCGGGGUAACGGCCCACCAAGGCAACGACGGGUAGCUGGUCUGAGAGGAUGGUCAGCCACACUGGGACUGAGACACGGCCCAGACUCCUGCGGGAGGCAGCAGUGGGGAAUCUUGCGCAAUGGGCGAAAGCCUGACGCAGCAACGCCGCGUGCGGGAUGAAGGCUUCCGGGCUGUAAACCGCUUUCAGCAGGAACGAAACUGACGGUACCUGCAGAAGAAGGAGCGGCCAACUACGUGCCAGCAGCCGCGGUGACACGUAGGCUCCAAGCGUUGUCCGGAUUUAUUGGGCGUAAAGAGCUCGUAGGCGGUUGAGUAAGUCGGGUGUGAAAACUUUGGGCUUAACCCGGAGACGCCACUCGAUACUGCUCUGACUUGAGUUCAGGAGGGGAGUGGGGAAUUCCUAGUGUAGCGGUGAAAUGCGCAGAUAUUAGGAGGAACACCGGUGGCGAAGGCGCCACUCUGGACUGAAACUGACGCUGAGGAGCGAAAGCAUGGGUAGCAAACAGGAUUAGAUACCCUGGUAGUCCAUGCCGUAAACGGUGGGCACUAGGUGUGGGUUCCAACUAACGGGAUCCGCGCCGUCGCUAACGCAUUAAGUGCCCCGC
rnacentral:rRNA from 1 species